rnacentral:rRNA from 1 species
GAUGAACGCUGGCGGCGUGCUUAACACAUGCAAGUCGAACGAAGCACUUUAUUUGAUUUCCUUCGGGACUGAUUAUUUUGUGACUGAGUGGCGGACGGGUGAGUAACGCGUGGGUAACCUGCCUUGUACAGGGGGAUAACAGUUGGAAACGGCUGCUAAUACCGCAUAAGCGCACAGCAUCGCAUGAUGCAGUGUGAAAAACUCCGGUGGUAUAAGAUGGACCCGCGUUGGAUUAGCUAGUUGGUGAGGUAACGGCCCACCAAGGCGACGAUCCAUAGCCGACCUGAGAGGGUGACCGGCCACAUUGGGACUGAGACACGGCCCAAACUCCUACGGGAGGCAGCAGCGGGGAAUAUUGCACAAUGGGCGAAAGCCUGAUGCAGCGACGCCGCGUGAGCGAAGAAGUAUUUCGGUAUGUAAAGCUCUAUCAGCAGGGAAGAUAAUGACGG